rnacentral:ncRNA from 1 species
AACCGAAAAAAGCAAACCCAGCGAAAGCCGGGGACGCAAAGCCAUGGGUCUAAGGCGUGGAAAGCUAAGACUGCCAGGUUGCCGUA